ACGCGUCAGGUGGGGACAAGAGAGAAAAAAGCAGUUCAAUCCCACGCAACUUCCUCUCUCUCGCAUCUCCUUAUCUCCGCCCGGCCGACAGCUAGGGUUCCACCGGCGCCGCCAAAGCCACCUCCACCAUACCUUCUCCUCCAGCCUAUCCCCACCGUCGCCCCAGGCUAGAAGGCGGGUACCACCGUCACGAGCAUGACCCCCUCCUUGCUGGCGGGCUCAGCAACGACUUCGUCUCCAUUUGGAACCCAUCGCCGACGCGGCUGCCGCGGCUACCAUCCGACCCGAGAGGAGCAGCUCGCAGUAGGUCUUCCUCGUCUCCAUCUCCAAGCCCCACGCGAGCGCCGGCAGUGGCACGGAGCUGGCGAAGAAGGUGACUGUGGUUGGAUCUGUCGCACGAGAGGCGGCGGCGCGAUGUGGCCUUGCAAUACUCUUAGGCAUUGGUGAAAUCCGUUCUGCAAUCUAGGAACGAGGCCAACUUCAGGAGCUGAUUGAAGCUGCACUAAAAUUAGCUACAAAGUAACAUCAAAACAAUUUGUGGGCAACCUCCUACAGGAAGAAAAUUACAGUUUGGAUGAGGAUUUGUAGUCCAUAGGAUGGUCAGGUCCUGAUAGGUUCAGAAGAUCAGGUCAUACCAUCAUGACUAUAUUCGAUUUGGAUCCUUAGGUACAUCAAAUGUGUCUAUCCAAGAGGAGCACAAUUUUAGAGGAGUAUUUCUUUAUGGUUCUGAUUCCCCACCCUCAUGUUAAUGUCUCUGUAUGAUUACCACGUUACAAGUCUUCUUUUAUAUCCAAAAGGGGGACUAGCAAUCUACAUCAAUCUUAUUGGAUUGGUUGUUCAUGCCUACAUCAAUGUACUGUUCAACAUCAAGCUUAUCGGAUCAACUGUUCAUGCCUAAAUCAACCAAACAAGUAUGGAGUUAUCUUAUGUUAUUUCAAGGUAGAACCAAGAAGAUUGUUAAAUUCUUUCCUCCUGCAUUAACAGAACACACAGAAAAUCGAAUUUACCUAAAAAAUGUAUGUUGAUUAUCUAGGCUUCUCGUGAAGGACAUUUACCUACUAUUCUACCAAUCCUUUGAAGUUAUUUCUUUUACUCGGUGGUUCUGCGGGAUAUCAAAUUAUUUUUAAUUCUAGUAUUUCUUACUUAGUAUAUGUCACCUGCAGAUUCAUCCUUCAUAAAACGUUAUUCCCAUAUAGUUAAGGAGCAGGAAAAUGCUCGGUCAGGCUGCCUAAGAACCUGAAGAAAUGGCUUAUAAAUAACUUUUUUUAUCUUGUCAUAUUAGAUUCUUAGUGCAUUAGUCCUAGAUUGCAACCUGAGUUCAUCCUAUUCCUACUUGUUGUCAUUUUCCAACAGUAAGAAGUGGCUUCUCUACAGAAAUGAGUAGCAUGUGCUCUUUGGGUGGGUGGAUUAUAUUGUUGCAGAUAUAUUACAGUUGAUGUUGGAUGCAUUUUCCAAUCCCAUUUUGUUAAAUACUUUAUACUAGCCCUUCUAUUUUUGCUCUACUGCUUUGCGAAACAAUUGAUUACUUGUGAUUAGACUCUGAUUAUGGUCUUUGCGUGUGGUUAGGCUAGGCAAAUUAAACACACACACACAUAUCAAGUUAAAAUGGAAGGUCAAAAGAGUAAAUUAGUUGCUGCCCAUAGUACUCUGCUUUGAACCCAGACAUUAUUGUAGAACUAUUGGCUAAUUAAACAUAGGAGGAUGAUACGUCUCCAACGUAUCUAUAAUUUUUGAUUGUUCCAUGCUAUUAUAUUACCCGUUUUUGAUGUUUAUGGGCUUUACUUUACACU